rnacentral:rRNA from 1 species
AUUGAACGCUGGCGGCAGGCCUAACACAUGCAAGUCGAGCGAGCGGCGGACGGGUGAGUAAUGUCUGGGAAACUGCCUGAUGGAGGGGGAUAACUACUGGAAACGGUAGCUAAUACCGCAUACCAUCAGAUGUGCCCAGAUGGGAUUAGCUUGUAGGUGGGGUAACGGCUCACCUAGGCGACGAUCCCUAGCUGGUCUGAGAGGAUGACCAGCCACACUGGAACUGAGACACGGUCCGUACUCCUACGGGAGGCCGCAGUGGGGAAUGUUGCACAAGGGGCGCAAUCCUGAUGCAGCCAGGCCGCGUGUGUGAAGAAGGCCUUCGGGUGGUAAAGCACUUUCCGCGGGGAGGCGUUACCCGCAGAAGAAGCACCGGCUAACUCCGUGCCAGCAGCCGCGGUAAUAC